rnacentral:rRNA from 1 species
GUACGAAGGGGAGCUAGCGUUGCUCGGAAUCACUGGGCGUAAAGCGCACGUAGGCGGAUUGUUAAGUCAGGGGUGAAAUCCUGGAGCUCAACUCCAGAACUGCCUUUGAUACUGGCGAUCUCGAGUCCGGGAGAGGUGAGUGGAACUGCGAGUGUAGAGGUGAAAUUCGUAGAUAUUCGCAAGAACACCAGUGGCGAAGGCGGCUCACUGGCCCGGUACUGACGCUGAGGUGCGAAAGCGUGGGGAGCAAACAGG